rnacentral:rRNA from 1 species
GAUCCUGGCUCAGAAUCAACGCUGGCGGCGCGCUUAACACAUGCAAGUCGAACGAGAAAGCCGGGGCAACCUGGUGAGUAAAGUGGCGUACGGGUGAGUAACACGUGGAUGAUCUACCCUCUGGUGGGGGAUAACCCUGGGAAACCGGGGCUAAUACCGCAUAACUCCGUGAGGAGAAAGCCGAAAGGCGCCGGAGGAGGAGUCCGCGGCCGAUUAGCUAGUUGGCAGGGUAAUGGCCUACCAAGGCUGCGAUCGGUAGCCGGCCUGAGAGGGCACACGGCCACACUGGCACUGAAACACGGGCCAGACUCCUACGGGAGGCAGCAGUGGGGAAUCUUGCACAAUGGGGGAAACCCUGAUGCAGCGACGCCGCGUGAGCGAUGAAGCCCUUCGGGGUGUAAAGCUCUUUCGGCAGGAACGAUAAUGACGGUACCUGCAGAAGAAGCUGCGGCUAACUACGUGCCAGCAGCCGCGGUAAUACGUAGGCAGCAAGCGUUGUUCGGAGUUACUGGGCGUAAAGAGUGCGUAGGCGGUUCUUUAAGUUCGGUGUGAAAUCUCCCGGCUCAACUGGGAGGGUGCGCCGAAAACUGGAGGGCUUGAGUGCGGGAGAGGAGAGCGGAAUUCCUGGUGUAGCGGUGAAAUGCGUAGAUAUCAGGAGGAACACCGGUGGUGUAGACGGCUCUCUGGACCGCAACUGACGCUGAGGCACGAAAGCGGGGAGCAAACAG